GUCAGCGUUGUGUUGAGCCUCUCAAAGCAUCCAGAGAGAGUACUGAGGAACCGAGACAACCAUUCCGUCUCUAUGUCCUUUACCAGGUCAUCAGGGCUGACAGCACCCGCAACUUCCCCGCGUCCCUGCGGGCAUUUCCAUGGCCUCUCACCGUCCCUGAUGUUCACUAUGUCUGAAAGCCCCAGGUAUCCUCCUGUUUCCCCUUCCAGCUUGGACAUUACAGGGACUUCGUGGAUUUGGGCAUAACAGUGACUGUGACUCACAGUACAGGAGGGGCCCAGGGAGAGGGCUCAGCAGGUAAAGGUGCUUGCAGCUAAAACCUGUGGACUGGAGAUUGAUCUACAGGAUUCACAAAGCGGAGAGAACUCACUUGGGCAGUUGUCCUCUGAUGGUCACAUAUGUGAAAUGUGGCAUGUACCCCUGUGGAUUUAAGAAAAUUGUGAUUUGACAAA